rnacentral:rRNA from 1 species
UACGGGGGGAGCAAGCGUUGUUCGGAUUUACUGGGCGUAAAGGGCGCGUAGGCGGCUUAUCAAGUCACUUGUGAAAUCUCCGGGCUUAACCCGGCAGAGGCCAAGUGAAACUGACGAGCUUGGAGUGCGGAAGGGGCCAUCGGAAUUCUUGGUGUAGCGGUGAAAUGCGUAGAUAUCAAGAGGAACACCAGCGGCGAAGGCGGGUGGCUGGGCCGACACUGACGCUGAGGCGCGAAAGCUAGGGGAGCGAACGGG